rnacentral:rRNA from 1 species
CACGUAGGCGGCGAUGUAAGUCGGGUGUGAAAUCCCUCGGCCCAACCGAGGAACUGCGCCCGAAACUGCAUUGCUUGAGGAUCAAAGGGGUGCUCGGAAUUUCCGGUGGAGCGGUGAAAUGCGUUGAUAUCGGAAGGAACGUCGGCGGCGAAAGCGGAGCACUGGUUGAUUACUGACGCUGAGGUGCGAAAGCCAGGGGAGCAAACGGGAUUAGAUACCCCGGUAGUCCUGGCCGUAAACGAUGGGUACUAGGUAGCGGGAAACCAAACGUCUCGCUGCUGGAGUGAAUAUCUUAAGUACCCCGCCUGGGAAGUACAAUCGCAAGGUUGAA